UACGGGGGGAGCAAGCGUUGUUCGGAUUUACUGGGCGUAAAGGGCGCGUAGGCGGUCAGCACAAGUCAGUUGUGAAAUCUCCGGGCUUAACUCGGAAAGGUCAACUGAUACUGUGCGACUAGAGUGCAGAAGGGGCAACUGGAAUUCUCGGUGUAGCGGUGAAAUGCGUAGAUAUCGAGAGGAACACCUGCGGCGAAGGCAGCUCGCUGGGACGUUACUGACGCUGAGACGCGAAAGCGUGGGGAGCAAACAGG
rnacentral:rRNA from 1 species